rnacentral:sRNA from 1 species
GCUAUGUCAAUAUUUUUGUUUAAAAGCAAGCUUGAUUCCUUGUGUGGACUUUGUUGAAGCUUUCUAUCACUGCUUUUUAUUUGAGUUUGAUUUAGCUGCUUUUUUCCCUGAUUUCGUGUUUUGCAGAGUGGCUGCCUUGAAAGCCUUCUGAUUGGGAUGGGGAGGGGAUGGCGAAGUUGCUGGGUGAAUUUCAAAGCCCAGAAUGUAUAAAAAAGGAGCACACAGUUGCUGAAAGCAUCAGGGAAGUGACUACAAUUAAGCUCUGUGUAUCUUGUGACCUUGAAGCUUCUCGAAAUAGCCACCAUGUCUGGAAUAAUGGAAGCUCCAGAUUCAAAUGACUCAGGACGACUUUACCCACAAAGCCCCAUGAUCCUUUGGAGAUAUCUCCAGAUCCAAUGCCUGUGUUUAGUUGGCAUGGAAAAUUCUAGAGCAUUAUGCUUUUGUUUUAAAAGACGUGAACAGAGUUACACUAUUGUGGGAUGCUGCCCAAGCAAUUUAAUCAUGAUCUGGUGUCAAAGCUAAUUUCCUCAGCAGUUGAGGGACGCUUUAUUUAACGCAGCUGCAAUUGUCCUGUAGAUGCUGCAGACACCUUCCAGCACAUUGUGGGCAGUUUUGCUCCUGAACUUUUACGUUAUGUCUCUAUCCGAGGCAUAUUUCUGGGAGGGUAAUAAAAAUGGUCUUUUCAUGAGACACGAGAAAACAGUCCGUAUCAUCUGUACACACUGAGCUAAAAAAAUAAAGUAUUUGUAGAUUAAAUUGGACAUUUUGAGGUGUUAACGCAAAAAAGCUACCUUGCUUUUGGUAAUCAAUAAGGAAACAAGGACUUUAGGUCAUUAAAUUCUGUGAAGUGAACAUUUCUCCUUUGGAACCCAGUAAUAUAAUAGAGAGAGGCAAGUGAUAAAUACUAAAACAAGGGAAUAUAAUGACAUGAAUUGUGAUGUCAGAGAUGAUAUGAAGUGUUGUUGCACAUAGUAGGAUAUUUAAAUUGCACCAGAUAUUGCUCUUAUGGAAGCAGGACCUAAGUGUUAGGCAGUGGGUUUUUAAAUGUGUCUGUUCUUUAGGUCAAAUUUUAUUUGAUAUAUUGUUUAGAUCUUCCCUUCUGAAGUGUGGCCCAGGAAACAGCCAUACAUGGCAGGAAUCCUUAUGUGGUGCAGAAAUCCUCCUUGAUUCCAGAGAGUCUGAAUCCGAAUCUGCACUCCAGUGAAAUUUUUUCAGCUAAAGACAUCAGAUCAAAAAGUGCCUUAAUCCAGCUCUGAAGAGCAAUGGAUAGUUUCCUGGGUUCCUAGCCAAUAACUGACUGAUGCAGUCAUUUAAUGGUGAAAUCAUGUCCACAAGAUGGCCCGUCAGAAUACUGCUUUGUGGAGCUAUAAACCAAAGUUGCACGCGCCCCCUUGCAGACAAACGAGGGUGAAAUGAGACAGGCAUGACAUGGCUGGAAGAGAGAUGGAUCAAAGGAUUUCCUUACGUUGCAAUCAAUACUAAGUGCUGCUUUGACAUAUGUUAUCCACCGGGAGAGCAGAACUGGAGUUGUCAUAAAGUAAUUAGAGGCUGGAUUGGGGAGCAUUGUGCAUGCCCUUCAACCAAAUGCCACAGAAGGACUGAAGUAGCAUAUACCUUGCUAAAGAUAAGAGACAUACAACUUACUCUGUGGGCACCCCACAAACGCUUCAUCACCGUCAUUUUGACCGGUUGUGGAUGUGUGCAUGGGUCACUAUUGUUUGCAGAAAAGAAUUCUUUGAAACGCUCGUCAAAUUUUCCAUUUAGUAGCGCAUCUGCAGACGGAGGCGCACGCCAUCACUUCGGAUGGCCACAGAUCAAGUGCCAAUCUAUUUUAGAGAGGACUGAAACAGGAGGCAGAAGGCUGAACUCAGGAAACUUGAAAUCUGACUGCAGUUUGCAUGUGAAGGCUGAGAUGGCCUUAAAUGCUUCUGCCUAUUCCAUGACAGCACGGCACAACUCUGAACAAUGAUGAGGAUGAUCACGUGAUUCUGCAUUUUCCUCUAACUUGGCAGAAGACUAAUCUAGAACCUUAUGACAGCCUAUGUAUUUUCCCGUGAUAACCACCCUUCUCUUAGUCCACAUAGCCCUGAUGACAUUAUCCCAACUCCAGCCUGUGAUGUUGGAAAAGGCUUGGAGAGAUUCUUUACCUCUGACUGCAAGUUCAGAGACUGGCACAGGAAGAAAAUAGAUGCAGGAGUUGACUCCAGAUGGAAUUCUGCUAGGAACUGUUAGGAAGAUCUUCUUACCUUAUUUUAGAAGGACGCAAUGCUGGAAAUGCUCAUGCCUGAAACAUAGAGAUGUCAUGUUUAAAAUACAGUUAUCAUGAACAGCACCGUGUCAAACGAUGGUAAAUAAAGAGAUACCAAUUAUUUAGUUUGAGCCUCUGAACCUAAGCAUGUCUGAAGCUGAAAUUAGUCAAGUAAAACAAAACACUGUGCCUCUAAAAAGUAUUGACACAAAGGAAUUAAUUUUGCUUUUUAAUAUACUACACGUUUUAUAAAGUGUACUGGGCAUAGAGGUACAUGCCUGUAAUCCCAUAACCUGGAAAGCUGAGAAUGGAGCUGUUACAUAUAGGGGUCAACCUGCAUGAAAGUGCAUGACUCAGCCUGAGAAACUAAGUCUAAAAUAAGCAACCAAGCAAGCUAAACAAAACAAUAAACAAUAGAACAAUAUACCAAAAUAUGGAUAUAUAUUCAAAUACCCUCUCCCCGGUGUCUCUCAGUCUCUUCCUGUCUACGUGACUGCCUUCCUGCUUGUCUGUCAGUCUGUCUGUCUUUGUCUCUUUCCUUGUCUCACUCUCCUC